GACGAACGCUGGCGGCGUGCUUAACACAUGCAAGUCGAACGGAAAGGCCCUGCUUUUGUUGGGUGCUCGAGUGGCGAACGGGUGAGUAACACGUGAGUAACCUGCCCUUGACUUUGGGAUAACUUCAGGAAACUGGGGCUAAUACCGGAUAGGAGCUCCUGCUGCAUGGUGGGGGUUGGAAAGUUUCGGCGGUUGGGUAUGGACUCGCGGCUUAUCAGCUUGUUGGUGGGGUAGUGGCUUACCAAGGCUUUGACGGGUAGCCGGCCUGAGAGGGUGACCGGCCACAUUGGGACUGAGAUACGGCCCAGACUUCUACGGGAGGCAGCGGUGGGGAAUAUUGCACAAUGGGCGGAAGCCUGAUGCAGCCACGCCGCGUGCGGGAUGACGGCCUUCGGGUUGUAAACCGCUUUCGCCUGUGACGAAGCGUGAGUGACGGUAAUGGGUAAAGAAGCACCGGCUAACUACGUG
rnacentral:rRNA from 1 species